AUGAAGAAGGCCUUCGGGUUGUAAAGUACUUUCAGCAGUGAGGAAGGAGGUAUCGUUAAUAGCGGUAUCUUUUGACGUUAGCUGCAGAAGAAGCACCGGCUAACUCCGUGCCAGCAGCCGCGGUAAUACGGAGGGUGCGAGCGUUAAUCGGAAUUACUGGGCGUAAAGCGCAUGCAGGUGGUUUGUUAAGUCAGAUGUGAAAGCCCGGGGCUCAACCUCGGAAUUGCAUUUGAAACUGGCAGGCUAGAGUACUGUAGAGGGGGGUAGAAUUUCAGGUGUAGCGGUGAAAUGCGUAGAGAUCUGAAGGAAUACCGGUGGCGAAGGCGGCCCCCUGGACAGAUACUGACACUCAGAUGCGAAAGCGUGGGGAGCAAACAGGAUUAGAUACCCUGGUAGUCCACGCCGUAAACGAUGUCUACUUGGAGGUUGUGGCCUUGAGCCGUGGCUUUCGGAGCUAACGCGUUAAGUAGACCGCCUGGGGAGUACGGUCGCAAGAUUAAAACUCAAAUGAAUUGACGGGGGCCCGCACAAGCGGUGGAGCAUGUGGUUUAAUUCGAUGCAACGCGAAGAACCUUACCUACUCUUGACAUCCAGAGAACUUAGCAGAGAUGCUUUGGUGCCUUCGGGAACUCUGAGACAGGUGCUGCAUGGCUGUCGUCAGCUCGUGUUGUGAAAUGUUGGGUUAAGUCCCGCAACGAGCGCAACCCUUAUCCUUGUUUGCCAGCGAGUAAUGUCGGGAACUCCAGGGAGACUGCCGGUGAUAAACCGGAGGAAGGUGGGGACGACGUCAAGUCAUCAUGCCCCUUACGAGUAGGGCUACACACGUGCUACAAUGGGCGCAUACAGAGGGCGGCCAACUUGCGAAAGUGAGCGAAUCCCAAAAGUCGCGUCGUAGUUCGGGAUUGCAGUCUGCAACUCGACUGCAUGAGUCGGAAUCGCUAGUAAUCGUGGAUCAGAAUGUCACGUGAUACGUUCCCGGGUCCUUGUACACAUCCGCCCGUCACACCAUGGGAAGUGGCUGCACAGAGUCAGUAGUUACUUCGGAGGACGCUUGCCACGUUGGUGGCUCAUGACUGGUGAGUCGACACACGGGUAACCGGA
rnacentral:rRNA from 1 species